rnacentral:lncRNA from 1 species
UUCUUACACGUCCAUCAUUGUGGUGUCGCAUUCAACAGAAUCUUAAAGAUUCCGUGGAAUAUUCUAUAGUGUAUACUCGUUUUGUGUAAAAAUGUAAUUUCUGAUGCACCAUAAUCUAAUGAUCAUCUUGUUUCAAAACGUGGAGCUCGAAUGUGGUAAAACGUGUACAAACCUGUGAAUAUUUCAAGUAAUAUAGAAGAUUCCAUUAAAUUUGACGCAAAUGUGAACGUGUAAGAAGAUUAAUAAUCGAUGAGGUGAUUGUAAUUAUUCAAAUAUUUGACUUUACCUCGAUAGAGUCCGUAAAUUAUUAAAAGCGAAAAAAUAGGGUUUAAAAAAAAUAAAUAGAAAAUACUUUAUAAUAGUCAGAACCAAGAAAAGAAGUACUCCAUUGACUAUAUGUUGUUGUGAAAUGACCAUAUUAUCCACGUAUAUCAGCAUAUUCCCCAUUGUGGAAUCGUCCACCGACGUCGUUUUAAUGGUAUCCCAAAUUGAAGGUUUCUAUCUUCGUGUCAGGGUUCGCCUAACUCCUCCCACCUCGAGUCACCGCUACCUAGCUAGCAUCUUGUUCAAGUACCAAUAACCCAAUCUGCAUUAUGUUGAAAACAAAAACAAAAAAUUGAAAAAUAAAUAUAUUGAAAUAGCCAGCGAAAUGAAAACAAAAAUAUAUAUUCAGAUUAUACAUUUUGACAGCACAUAUUGCAAAGAAAACUAUUGCAGACCUAUUAACAUUCUGCACUUAAUAAUUAACAGAAUAAUUUCAAUCUGAAAACAAAGUGUCCUGAAAUCAGUCAUAAAAAAAAAAUACAAUCACAACAAUUAGAUCCAAAUCAUCAUAUGAAAGACAUUUAAUUGUUUUGUUUUCCUUGCACGGAAGAUUGAAGAAGACAAAAACAGGAACAAUGAAAAUUGAAAAGCUAGAUCGAGAAUAAUUCCUCACAACCACGACUUCGUAUCGCUAUUUAAAAGUAGUGAAAAAAAAGGGAAAUUAAAUUUUGUACCUGCUGCUGUCGAUUAGAGCAACUCCAACCCAAAAAUAUCAAAACGAGUUUGCAAACAUUUAUUUGAUAUUUAAUAUUUUACUUUGAUAUUUAUCUAAAUGUAUUUUCAAGUACAAAAAUGGUGGUUAAAGGGUUAUCAAACC